rnacentral:rRNA from 1 species
UGGAUUUUUUUGUUUUGGCAAGAGCAUGANAGCUUUUACUGGGCAAGAAGACAGGAGAUGGAGAGUCCAGCCGGGCCUGCGCUUAAGUGCGCGGUCUUGCUAGGCUUGUAAGUUUCUUUCUUGCUAUUCCAAACGGUGAGAGAUUUCUGUGCUUUUGUUAUAGGACAAUUAAAACCGUUUCAAUACAACACACUGUGGAGUUUUCAUAUCUUUGCAACUUUUUCUUUGGGCAUUCGAGCAAUCGGGGCCCAGAGGUAACAAACACAAACAAUUUUAUCUAUUCAUUAAAUUUUUGUCAAAAACAAGAAUUUUCGUAACUGGAAAUUUUAAAAUAUUAAAAACUUUCAACAACGGAUCUCUUGGUUCUCGCAUCGAUGAAGAACGCAGCGAAAUGCGAUACGUAAUGUGAAUUGCAGAAUUCCGUGAAUCAUCGAAUCUUUGAACGCACAUUGCGCCCCUUGGUAUUCCAGGGGGCAUGCCUGUUUGAGCGUCAUUUCCUUCUCAAACAUUCUGUUUGGUAGUGAGUGAUACUCUUUGGAGUUAACUUGAAAUUGCUGGCCUUUUCAUUGGAUGCUUUUUUUCCAAAGAGAGGUUUCUCUGCGUGCUUGAGGUAUAAUGCAAGUACGGUCGUUUUAGGUUUUACCAACUGCGGCUAAUCUUUUUUUAUACUGAGCGUAUUGGAACGUUAUCGAUAAGAAGAGAGCGUCUAGGCGAACAAUGUUCUUAAAGUUUGACCUCAAAUCAGGUAGGAGUACCCGCUGAACUUAAGCAUAUCAAUAAGCGGAG